ensembl:snRNA U6 U6 spliceosomal RNA
GUGCUUGUUCAGCAGCACAUGUAUGAAAUUAGAACGAUACAGAGAAGGUUAGCAUGGCCCCUGUGCAAGGAUGACACGCAAAUUUGUGGAGCGUUCCACAUUUUU